GUGGCUCAGACAGACUCCAGAGCUCUGCCUGCUGACUUCCCGGGAGGACAGGCGCCCACAGGGGUGGGAGCACGAGCAGACCCUGAAGAACCUCCCCUCCACUUGCCAGGGUGAACCAGAGGGCCAGGAGGUGGAGGCGAGGACUCGGGGGCUGGGCUGCGAGCGGCUCAGGCACGGACUACGGAAGCAGCUCCGAGCCCAAGAGGGCAGGGCAGGCCUCUUUCUGGGGCCUCCCUCCCCUUCCCCACCCUCCACUCGGCCUCUCCCCACCACUGGCUUCUGAAGACUAGGAGCUGACUGAACCCCCGACUCUCAACACUGAACAGGGCCUUCAGGAAGACUUACCCUCCCAUUUAACAGAUAAGGAAACUGAGACCUGGCUUGGGGAAAGGUUAGAGGCUGAAGGGGUGGAUUAUCUUGAUUGGGACAGAGACUGUCCUUGUAGUCCACAAGCAUAUACUGAAGACGUGGUGGAUAGCAGAUUCUGGGGGAAACACAGUUGAACAAGACCCCAAAACUCUAAUGAGAGAGAAACCUAUUUGGCCAGAAGAGCCACAACGCAAAGCUGAGUGUUGCCGGGCAGACAUAAAUCAGCAGAGUGGUGUUCAUUUGGUGGCUCUCGGCCAGGGGGACUCUGGGUGUUGUGCCAGGCCAUCAACUGACAAGAAGAGGUAACAUUUCAGCCUCUUCCAAAACUACACCCAGCCAGCGGCAGUAGAGCCCAUGAAGCUUCCAGUCUCCCGGGUCAAGGUCGACACACAAGGGCUGGGCUGUCCCUAAGGCCGCCACGCGCCAGGGAGUGGGCAGACGGAGCCUGCACCCAGUGGGUGCCCACAUCCACUGAAAGGGUGACGACAAAGCUUGCUCUCCGAGAAGCUCUCAGGUCCCCACAUGCCCAGAGGGAAUGCCCCUUUCGGAAGAGCAGCUCCCCUCCUCUCACUGGGAAGGCUGUGGGACCGUUAGACUGGGCGGAAGUCGGACUCUGGCCAAGGGGAUGUUCCCAGAUGUCAUGCUUUCAAAUGGACCCGCCCUGAAAGCGCGCCCACCUUGAGAUAGUCGUUCUCCGAGCGCAGCUCCUCCAGCUCUCGCACGAAGCCGCCGGGCCCGCAGUCCAGCAUCUCCUCGG